GACGAACGCUGGCGGCGUGCUUAACACAUGCAAGUCGAACGGAAAGGCCCUGCUUUUGUGGGUUUCUCGAUUGGCGAACGGGUGAGUAACACGUGUGUAACCUGCCCUUGUAUUGGGAUAACUUCUGCAAACUGGCGCUAAUACCGGAGAGUAGCUUCUGCUACCUGGUGGGUGUUUGAAAGUUUCGGCGGUUGGAGCUGGUCUGGCGGGUUAUCAGCUUGUUGGUGGGGUAUUGGCUUACCAAGGCUUUGACGGGUAGCCGGCCUGAGAGGGUGAACGGGGACAUUGGGACUGAGAGACGGAGCAGUAGGGUACGGGAGGCAGCAGUGGGGAGUAUUGCACAGUGGGGGGAAGUCAGAUGCAGAGGCGCCGGGAGCGGGAUGACGGGCUACGGGUUGAAAACAGAUGUGGCAUGUGACGUAGCGGGAGUGACGGUAAUGGGUAAAGAAGCAACGGCUAACUACGUG
rnacentral:rRNA from 1 species